UGGGGAAUCUUGCACAAUGGGCGAAAGCCUGAUGCAGCCAUGCCGCGUGAAUGAUGAAGGCCUUAGGGUUGUAAAAUUCUUUCGCUAGGGAUGAUAAUGACAGUACCUAGUAAAGAAGCCCCGGCUAACUUCGUGCCAGCAGCCGCGGUAAUACGAAGGGGGCUAGCGUUGUUCGGAAUUACUGGGCGUAAAGCGCACGUAGGCGGACUUUUAAGUCAGAUGUGAAAUCCCGGGGCUCAACCUCGGAACUGCAUUUGAAACUGGAAGUCUAGAGACCAGGAGAGGUUAGCGGAAUACCGAGUGUAGAGGUGAAAUUCGUAGAUAUUCGGUGGAACACCAGUGGCGAAGGCGGCUAACUGGACUGGUACUGACGCUGAGGUGCGAAAGUGUGGGGAGCAAACAGG
rnacentral:rRNA from 1 species